UACGGCGGGUGCGAGCGUUAAUCGGAAUUACUGGGCGUAAAGCGUACGUAGGCGGUUGGGUAAUUCGGAUGUGAAAGCCCUGGGCUUAACCUGGGAACUGCAUUCGAUACUGCUCGGCUAGAGUAUGGGAGAGGGAAGCGGAAUUUCCGGUGUAGCGGUGAAAUGCGUAGAUAUCGGAAGGAAAACCAAUGGCGAAGGCAGCUUCCUGGCCCAAUACUUACGCCCAGGUGCCACAGCGUGGGGAUCAAACAGG
rnacentral:rRNA from 1 species